rnacentral:rRNA from 1 species
AUUGAACGCUGGCGGCAGGCCUAACACAUGCAAGUCGAGCGGCAGCGGGAAAGUAGCUUGCUACUUUUGCCGGCGAGCGGCGGACGGGUGAGUAAUGCCUGGGGAUCUGCCCAGUCGAGGGGGAUAACUACUGGAAACGGUAGCUAAUACCGCAUACGCCAUACGGGGGAAAGCAGGGGACCUUUGGGCUUGGCGCGAUUGGAUGAACCCAGGUGGGAUUAGCUAGUUGGUGAGGUAAUGGCUCACCAAGGCGACGAUCCCUAGCUGGUCUGAGAGGAUGAUCAGCCACACUGGAACUGAGACACGGUCCAGACUCCUACGGGAGGCAGCAGUGGGGAAUAUUGCACAAUGGGGGAAACCCUGAUGCAGCCAUGCCGCGUGUGUGAAGAAGGCCUUCGGGUUGUAAAGCACUUUCAGCGAGGAGGAAAGGUCAGUAGCUAAUAUCUGCUGGCUGUGACGUUACUCGCAGAAGAAGCACCGGCUAACUCCGUGCCAGCCGCCGCCGUAA